UGGGGAAUCUUGGACAAUGGGCGAAAGCCUGAACCAGCGACGCCGCGUGGAGGACGAAGGCCUUCGGGUCGUAAACUCCUUUUGCAAGGGAAAAAGGGAAGGGUUCGACUAGGGCCCUAUACUUGAUGGUACCUUGCGAAAAAGCCCCGGACAACUACGUGCCCGCAGCUGCGGUAAUACGUAGGGGGCGAGAGUUAUCCGGAGUUACUGGGUGUAAAGGGGACGCAGCGGGACCUGUAAGUCGGGUGA
rnacentral:rRNA from 1 species